CAGGCGCAGACGGCCAGUGCAGGUGGGCUUCGCGGGUCUGGUCUCCCGCGGCGGCGCAGCUCCUGGAUGUCUGACAGUGUAUGCCCUGGGCUGAGGUGGGACACUGGGAAGGAGCGGAAAGGGACAGAGAGCCCGGGAACACAGCACACAAGCUGUCGCCUGAGGGCUGAAGUAGGACGCCCGGGUUCUGAGGAUCAAGACCAAGAGAAACAAAGUCCCACUCUGCAACCCCCUUGCAUCCCUCUCUAAGGUCCAAGAUCCAAUCUGAAAGAGCUCUUCCCACACAAUAAUCAAGUCACUCCUGGUGAGAGAAAGGCUCUUAUUACCAGCACAAACCCAUAAGUGUCGUAAUAAUAUAAUGAACAUCUGUAAAACAAGAGUUACACCAAGCACAGGUUUUACUAAUGAAGCAGAGAUAGGGACCAGAUGGAAGAAAGACCUGAGACAGAGAUUGGAAAGCUGUGGAGGGAGUGCCUCUACCUGGGAUCUCCAGUGCAGUACUCAGUAUAUUUUUGGUGAAUGAAUGAAUGAACACUGAGGCUCAUGCUUCCACCGUUUCUAUACACCAUCCUGUGACCCAGCUGAGAGAGCCCCCAUCAGAACUUAACUGAUACCAACACCUUGAACCAUCACCACUGUGAGCUAAAUCAAUCUCUUUUUCUCAUAAGCUGCCUGCCUCAAGCAUUUCAUUACAAUGGAUGAAAAGCUGACUAAUAACACAAAUUAUAUUCAACAAGCAUGGAUGCCUAAUCUUAAUACAAAACAAGGAGUAGGUUAUAGCCAUUAGUAGUGCAGCCUACCAUACCAAUGUCAGCCAGUUAGCUAUAAACUGAAAAUAAAAUCCUCUUCAUAAAGGCAAAAACUAUUAAUACGUUUAGCAAAAAUUAUAAUAUCUAUGGAAAAAACUUUAACGAAGGACCUAGUACCUCAAUAAAUGGAAAACAUGCCAUGUUGUUUGAUGGAAAAAUAGUAUAAAAACGUCUCCAUUUUAAUAUAUGUUUAUGCAAACUGAAUCAGAAUUGCAGUUUAUGGUGCAUUUUGAAAUAAAAGUGAGUUAUAUGUCUGCAUAUAAACCAGUUGGAUCAUCCAGGAAAAACUGCUAAGUUAUAAAGCAAGUGUCAGGAAAAUGUGCUAUAGAGUACUAAGAGUAAUAAAAAUGCUGCAUAGUUAUGUACAUGUAAAUAUAAAUAUGAAAAUACGUGUUUGUCUGUGCAUAAAGACUAGGUGAAUGGAUGCCUUGAUUUAUGUCAGAGGGAUGAGUUUGUGCAGAGGCUAGGGGAUGUUUCUUUUUUCUUUAUAUAUCUUGGUAUUGCUUGACAAUGGAAUUCAGUCUAAUACCAGCUAAGAAACCAGAGAGUUCUAAAGAUAUUUUAAACCUUGUCUAAGUUUCCAUUAAAAUAUGGCAUGGUUCAAGCUGCUCAGUGUACAUACAUAAGGAAUGAACAAUUGUCUUGCUCAUUAGGCUCAGGUAUAAGGAGGAAGCUAGGUAGUCAUGGACCAACAGCCAUCACCAUUGCUCACUACUCUCCAAAACCAGCUUGGCAUUCUUCUAAAGAUUCCUUAUUGAUAUACAUACAUAUAUAACAUUUCAUAUAUAUAUAUGGCAGCUGCUAUGGUUUGGAUAUGAAAUGUUAUAGUUAGAGGCUUGGUCCCCAGCUCAUGUACUAUUGGGAAUGGUAAAACUUUUAAGAAGUGGGGCCUAGAAGAAGGAAGUUAGGUAGUUGGAGGAGUAUCCUUGAAAGGGAUACUAGGACCCUGGCCCCUGCUCUCUCCCUGUUGCUUCCCAGCUGUCAUGAGCUGGGCAGCUUCCUCUGCCAUGUGCCCCUACUAGGUGUGCUGCCUCAGCAUUGGCCCAAACAUAAUGGAGACAAAUCUUCAUGCUGCUAUGAGCUGAAAAACCUUCCCUCCUUACAGUCCCUCUCAGGUAUUUUGUCACAGUGAUGGAGAGCUGAGAGUGGCAGCUGAAACACAAAUCUGAUGAUAUUCACUUUUAUAUCAAGGUUAAGUAUAGGUAUAUUGCAAACAACAGAGGUCCAAGUUCCUCAGUGCAUUUAUAUGGAAAAACAACAUCCAUCAAAGGAAACAUAUAAUCCCUAUCUCAUUUUAACAGCAUUUACAUCAAAUUCCUUAUUUUUAUGUAGGCAGAUUUUAUCACUACAGAGUGCAAUUCUCUGUAUCACGUGAUAUUAAAUAUAUGGGAACAUAUUAAGAGAUUUUAAUGAAAAUAUUUUGUAAAAAGUCCUUUAAAACUUGUUAUGUUCAUUUAUUUAUUUUUGCAAUGCUAGAGAUUGAACCCAGGGCCUUAAAUAUACUAGGCAAAUGCUCUACCACCUAGCCACACACCUGGCUCAGCAGUGCUUUUAAUUCCUGGAGAACAACAUUUCCUAACACUGGAGAAAUUCUCAGAGAACUAUGCAUUCUGUGUGCUGCCAGAGUUUAUCUGAGAGAUUACUUAGAAGCUAUCCUAGAGUUUUUAUUUCUCAGAUUCUACAGCCAGGCAAAAAAUUUCUUACCUGAUAUUAUCAUGGUUUGAGUUUUGCAAAAGAUCAAAUCUUCAUAUUUACUUCCUAGUAGUUGUGUGCAUCUUGUGAUUU